rnacentral:rRNA from 1 species
AUGGCUCAGGAUGAACGCUAGCUACAGGCUUAACACAUGCAAGUCGAGGGGCAGCGAGGAGUUAGCUUGCUAACUUUGUCGGCGACCGGCGCACGGGUGAGUAACGCGUAUCCAACCUUCCCCAUAGUAGAGGAUAGCCCGGCGAAAGUCGGAUUAAUACUCUAUGUUGUAUUUCGAGGACAUCUGAAGAAUACCAAAGGUUUACCGCUAUGGGAUGGGGAUGCGUCUGAUUAGGUAGUAGGCGGGGUAACGGCCCACCUAGCCAUCGAUCAGUAGGGGUUCUGAGAGGAAGGUCCCCCACAUUGGAACUGAGACACGGUCCAAACUCCUACGGGAGGCAGCAGUGAGGAAUAUUGGUCAAUGGGCGUGAGCCUGAACCAGCCAAGUAGCGUGCAAGGAUGACGGCCCUAUGGGUUGUAAACUGCUUUUAUGCGGGGAUAAAGUGCGCCACGUGUGGCGUUUUGUAGGUACCGCAUGAAUAAGGACCGGCUAAUUCCGUGCCAGCCGCUGC